GUGCGCCCGGCAGCCCCGGGCGGGAGCGGGCGGGCGUGCACAGGAGGGUAUGCCUCUCUCGCCGGGUGCGCAUACGGGCGCGACCGUGUGUAUAUAGGAUAAUCAGUACUGAAGUUCACAUACUGGGGGAAGAAUGACAUCAAAGAACAUUAUGUGAAGCAAUGUGUCCAUCUCUGUGCAGCUUCAGAAGAAGGACAUUGAAGCAGUCUUCCGAUCCAGUUACUGGAUUGCUGAGAAUAAUUAAAGAUUUACUGGGAUACAGAAGAGAAGGGGGAGAAAGGGUGAACUCGCUUGCUAGCCUAUGGUAUUGCCACAAAGAAAGCCACAUUCAGUCACUCAAGCCACUUCAAGAGCCUACCAAACUAAGCCUCUUUUUCUUUUUUUCCAAGCACCUAAAGAGAGGGCUUGUACAACAGAUUUUAAAGAGCUUUGCAAGGUUUCAAGACCAAAGCCAAUUAAAGGAAGAAGCUAACAGAAACAAGAUAGUAAAUUAAGAUGAUCCAGGUCUUUGGCAAACACAGGAUCUGGAGAAAAAAGACAGAAGCCACAAGGCAUUACUUUUUGUCUCCUGACUCUGAAAAUGGCAAUGAGCCAAAGCUUGAGCUCCUCUAAACUGGUAUUCCUCGCUUAAAACUUUGAUGGGACAUUAUUGAUCAUUGCCUCAGGUGGAGAAAUGGCCAUAAUUUAGGAUGUUGGUUUUACAAUUCUUAAUGCUGGAUUAGGUGGCUAGACUAAAUUAUCUUCAAGAAGUCCUUUUUUUUUUUUUAAAGUUUGAUGACAUAGUGAGUCAUUCCAAGAAUGCAGAUAUACAUGUAACAGUGGCUAUGAGGAAAAUGAGGUAGUAUUGGUAUAAGUCCUCUUCCCACUACUGUAACAUUUUUCAUUUCCUUUUAAACACUGUAUUUUGCACCUUUUUUAUACAUUAUCCUGUGUUAAAGACUGUGUAGUUAAAACUCAACAUUUUUAUAAAAUGUACC